rnacentral:tRNA from 1 species
AAAAAGAUAAGCUAAUAAAGCUAAUGGGUUCAUACCUCAUUUAUGAAAGUUUAAAUCUUUCUCUUUUUA